rnacentral:rRNA from 1 species
UGGGGAAUCUUGCGCAAUGGGCGAAAGCCUGACGCAGCAACGCCGCGUGCGGGAAGACGGCCUUCGGGUUGUAAACCGCUUUCAGCAGGGACGAAAUUGACGGUACCUGCAGAAGAAGCUCCGGCCAACUACGUGCCAGCAGCCGCGGUAAGACGUAGGGGGCGAGCGUUGUCCGGAAUUAUUGGGCGUAAAGGGCUCCUAGGCGGUUCAGUAAGUCGGCUGUGAAAAUCCAAGGCUCAACCUUGGGACUGCAGCCGAUACUGCUGUGACUCGAGUUCGGUAGAGGAGUGUGGAAUUCCUGGUGUAGCGGUGAAAUGCGCAGAUAUCAGGAGGAACACCAACGGCGAAGGCAGCACUCUGGGCCGAUACUGACGCUGAAGAGCGAAAGCGUGGGGAGCAA